AAUGCCCCUUGAGGCGUUGCAGCUCAACUGUCAGUGUUGCAGCUGUGUCAUAAGGUGGCAGAGANNAGAGAGACCGGUGGUAGUCUGCACU